rnacentral:lncRNA from 1 species
UCUUAAUAGAUUCACUGUGAGCAGCUCAAAAGGAAGAAUAAGGAUGCAGAGGAUCGUCUGGAGUUGUGCCUCCAUCAGUGUGUUGAGCUGGAAAGGUGUGAAAGUAAAGAGCUGGAUGUUGAAAUAAGGAACCUGAUAGGGAAGAGUAACGCUCCCCAGUCGUGUGAGGACCCCAAACCUAUUGCACAAGACAGUCUGAACCCUCAGAGAACUUCGUGUUCCCUUAAGGUCCACAGUGAGACAGCCACUCAAGGCCAUCUUGGAUGCACGUGGGCAGAUGGGAGUGACAUGGAAGCCCCAGCAGACCCACUGGAAGUAAGUGACUUUUUUUAGCUGUUCUCUGAAGAGUUUUCUGAUUGUCAGGAAC